CGUGGUUCAGACCUGGGACGUGAACCCGGGUCUCCUGAUCCUGCAGGCAGUGUUUCUGUUUGUGCUGUAAAUUUCCCACGGCCCUUGUCUGUCACCGCCUGUGCAAGCCCCAGGGCUCUGUGUGUAAACCUCAGAGACUGUAAAUGAGGGAGAGGCGUGGGGUAGGAGCGAGCCCCCAAAGGGCAGGCCAGCUCCCACCUGCCGGGCCCCGGUUAGGAACCUCGCACGCCUUUUUGUUCCGGGAGUAUUUGCUGAGUGCAUAGCAACGUGCCGGGGGAACAGGACAAAACGAGACUCGGGUCCUGAUCUUAGCGUGUAUUCCAGAGGGGGGAGGGUGAGGAAGCAAACAAGCGAACACGGAGAUGUGUGCUUAUCUCCUUCUGUUCUUCCGCCUGCACUCACAGUUGCCCCCCGGGCCGUGGUCCUGUGCUCCCGCCAUCUCUGGAACCUCCGUUUGGCCACCACAUGCUUCUAGGCCACAUCCUUCGUGUCCUAGCUCCCAAAUGGCAUUCGUUCUGAACCUGCUGUGUGUUUUUUUUAAUGUUUAUUUAUUUAUUUUGAGAGUGAGAGAGAGCGAGCGAGCGGGAGGGCCAGAGGGAGAAUCCCAAGCACUGUCAGCACAGAGCCUGAUGCGGGGCUCCAACUCACGAACCGUGGCAUCGUGACCCGAGGCGAAGUCAGGAGUGAGGCACCGAACCAGAUGAAGAGACUGGUAUUUCAUUCACAUCAAGAUGUAACAGCUUUGAGAUAACAGCUUCUCGUCUGACUCUGACCGGGGUGUUUUUUUGGAGCCACAGUCAAAGCUCUGAUGGAGAGACUUCCAGCAUGAGCCUGCAGGGGAGGUGGAAUUUGAGGCAAAAUAGGAUUAUUU